GACCUAUUGGCGUACUCGGCAGCGCGCCCACAAUAAUUGCGUGUUACCUUGACUUCUAUGUGGGAGGCCCCAGUUCGACUCUGGGAUGGGUCA